UACGGAGGAUGCGAGCGUUAUCCGGAUUUAUUGGGUUUAAAGGGUGCGCAGGCGGAGGUGCAAGUCAGCGGUCAAAGCCCGGGGCUCAACCCCGGCCCGCCGUUGAAACUGGCAGUCUCGAGUUGGAGAGAAGUAUGCGGAAUGCGCGGUGUAGCGGUGAAAUGCAUAGAUAUCGCGCAGAACUCCGAUUGCGAAGGCAGCAUACCGGCGCGCAACUGACGCUCAUGCACGAAAGCGUGGGUAUCGAACAGG
rnacentral:rRNA from 1 species